UAUUUCAAAAUGUAUCAUGAAGUAGUCCAUCAAUAUCAUCAUGGUUGCGUGAAAGUGGUGUAUUUCGUGAGGAAAGUCUCUCCCCGUGAAAAAUCCAUUUGUUGUAUCCAUCCACAAAUCCAUUUACAAUCAAGUGAUCCUCCACCACAUUUCUAUAAUGCCAAUAACGAUUGAUGCAUUUUUUGCAAGGGCAUAAUAUUUCAUUUCCU
rnacentral:lncRNA from 1 species